rnacentral:lncRNA from 1 species
CAGCCCAUGACCCAUAUCAAGCCCUCUGGUUUGAUAUGGGAGUCUAGGGCUGAUACCAGGGCCAAUACAGAAAAUGCCAUGUAAUAAUCUAUAAUUACUCUGCCUCUGUAACAUGGAUUUAUUUGAUGUUAAGUCUUGAAUUCUUUUCAUUGUGUUAUCAAUUUUCAGAUCUGUCAAGCAGAUAGAUAACUCCUGUAUUAUCCCCAAUACCGGGUAAUUUGAAUUUUUAUGAUUAUGGAAUUUUCUUUGCAUGUUUUAUUGAGGAAGGAUAUAAUUAUAUUGGGUCUGGACCUUUAUAAUGUUGAGUUGUACUGUGAAAGGGCAUUAAUUAUAUGAAAACUUCAUGUAUAAAUUUUGGACGAUUACAGAAACAAAUAUAAAUGGUGAUAUGGUCAGAUUUACACUUCAAAAAAUGAAAAUUUGGCAUUGCAUUUGUUUAAACUGUUCUCAUAAUACAUUCAUAAUAAAAGCAAUGUUUUAAAUGUAGUGCCUCUGACCCAUUACAUUUUUUUCCAAAUUGCCUGCUAUGUUCUGGUUGUUGUCUCUUUGACACAUUCCACAUUUCUAUUUUCAAUUUUAUUUUAUAUAUAACUACCUCAAACA